rnacentral:rRNA from 1 species
GACGAACGCUGGCGGCGUGCCUAAUACAUGCAAGUCGAGCGGACCAAAGGGAGCUUGCUCCUGGAGGUUAGCGGCGAACGGGUGAGUAACACGUGGGCAACCUGCCUGUAAGACUGGGAUAACAUCGAGAAAUCGGUGCUAAUACCGGAUAAUAAAAAGAACUGCAUGGUUCUUUUUUGAAAGAUGGUUUCGGCUAUCACUUGCAGAUGGGCCCGCGGCGCAUUAGCUAGUUGGUGAGGUAACGGCUCACCAAGGCAACGAUGCGUAGCCGACCUGAGAGGGUGAUCGGCCACACUGGGACUGAGACACGGCCCAGACUCCUACGGGAGGCAGCAGUAGGGAAUCUUCCGCAAUGGACGAAAGUCUGACGGAGCAACGCCGCGUGAGUGAUGAAGGUUUUCGGAUCGUAAAACUCUGUUGUUAGGGAAGAACAAGUGCCGUUCGAAAGGGCGGCACCUUGACGGUACCUAACGAGAAAGCCACGGCUAACUACGUGCCAGCAGCCGCGGU